rnacentral:rRNA from 1 species
ACGCUCGACACCUACGGGNGGCAGCAGUCGGGAAUAUUGCGCAAUGGAGGAAACUCUGACGCAGUGACGCCGCGUAUAGGAAGAAGGUUUUCGGAUUGUAAACUAUUGUCGUUAGGGAAGAGAAAGGACAGUACCUAAGGAGGAAGCUCCGGCUAACUACGUGCCAGCAGUCGCGGUAAUCUGAGCGGGCUGGCAAGGC